AUAAUGGGUCAGCGACUUAUAUUCUGUAGCAAGGUUAACCGAAUAGGGGAGCCGAAGGGAAACCGAGUCUUAACUGGGCGUUAAGUUGCAGGGUAUAGACCCGAAACCCGGUGAUCUAGCCAUGGGCAGGUUGAAGGUUGGGUAACACUAACUGGAGGACCGAACCGACUAAUGUUGAAAAAUUAGCGGAUGACUUGUGGCUGGGGGUGAAAGGCCAAUCAAACCGGGAGAUAGCUGGUUCUCCCCGAAAGCUAUUUAGGUAGCGCCUCGUGAAUUCAUCUCCGGGGGUAGAGCACUGUUUCGGCAAGGGGGUCAUCCCGACUUACCAACCCGAUGCAAACUGCGAAUACCGGAGAAUGUUAUCACGGGAGACACACGGCGGGUGCUAACGUCCGUCGUGAAGAGGGAAACAACCCAGACCGCCAGCUAAGGUCCCAAAGUCAUGGUUAAGUGGGAAACGAUGUGGGAAGGCCCAGACAGCCAGGAUGUUGGCUUAGAAGCAGCCAUCAUUUAAAGAAAGCGUAAUAGCUCACUGGUCGAGUCGGCCUGCGCGGAAGAUGUAACGGGGCUAAACCAUGCACCGAAGCUGCGGCAGCGACGCUUAUGCGUUGUUGGGUAGGGGAGCGUUCUGUAAGCCUGC
rnacentral:rRNA from 1 species